rnacentral:other from 1 species
AGUUUUCUGCCUUGUUUGUUUAAGCACAAUUUUUAUAAUCCAACACAUUUAAAAAGGGAUUUCGACUCUAAUGGCGGAUUGCAGACCUCCCGUUUUACGGACGAAGGGAGCGUGAACCCAUAGGCGAUUUUACCCACCCUGCCUAGUGCGGGUUUUAUAGUUGUGCCACGGCAAGGCGGUUAAUAA